rnacentral:lncRNA from 1 species
AACUUAAGCAUGGUUUUGGGAUUUUUUGAGAUAUUUCUAACCUAAAAAUAUCCCUCACAAUAUUUAAAAGCUAACCUCAAAAUUUUGAGAGAAACAGAAUACAAUUCAUAUCGCAAGCUUACCUUAAGCUUAUGAUUUCUCUUGUGUUGAUUAUGAGCUUUCUCCCUCAUUUUAUCUCUUUUAUUUUGGUUUCUUCCUUCUUUCUUCUUCUUCUCACUUCUUCUCACUUCUUCUCACAAUUUGGGC